AGUUUACAAAUAUACAAACUUAAGAUUAAUAUAGUCGGCCCAUUACGAAACCUUAACACAGAAGAUCACGAUUGCAGCAUGUCCGACACGUUGUGCUUGCGUGGCCUUGGCCUCGCUUCUGCAGAAGCAAUGAGGGAAAUUUCACCGCCGGAGCUCAUCACCGGACAAGAAACCAUCGAGCUCUCUUCUCGCUUCGUUUUUAUUGCUUGCAUGCCACUCCUUCCUCUAAUCGCCACCGAUUCACCAAGAACUCCUCAUCACUUGCUAAAUAUUGAUCCAACAAAAGCUUCAGAGAGAAUCAAAUUCAGCACCUUGUCGGAUCAAUUUCCUAUACGGAAAGCUCCGCCUCAUCUGGAACUGCUUUGAAUCGUCCGAGCUUAUACACAUCUUCGGUUUUGAUCUUUUGGGAAACUCCGCUUGAGCUGAGGCGAAGAUUGAUUCCUAUCCAGAAUCAAGAACAAAGCUGAAAAGAUCCUUGGAGAUUUUACGGGAUACAUAUGAAAUCAAAAAAAAGAGAAAGUUUUAAGAAUACAUCAAAAGUCGCCAAACGAAAACUGAGAAUCCGAUAGCCAGAAGUUACAAUUGCCUAAGCGAAACAAAACAAAUUGAUCUAUGAAGAAUAAACUUGGUCGUAUGAAGUUGUCCUAAGCUUUAGGAACUAGUUUGUUUUCAUUUACUUGCUGAAUAAGUCAUCCUAUUUUCUAGGAUCGUAGCUGUUAGUUGUUGAGGCUUUUUCGAUUAAGUUGUUGCUUUCGUUUCCUAUUUAAACUUAUGUAUUCUUUCAAGUAUCAAUAAGAGAAUUCAUUCAGCUUAUUCUCUUUCGUUCAGUUUCUCAUUCUAUUUACAACAAGUGGUAUCAGAGCUACUUAAUUUGGUGUGUGAGUGAAACGUGUGAGAAAAACAAAAUGAGUGAGAAAGAUAGAUCUCUGAGCAUUCCUAAGUUUGAUGGUGAUUAUGAGCAUUGGGCUAUGCUCAUGGAGAACUUACUGAGAUCCAAGGAAUGGUGGGAACUCAUUGAGAAUGGAGUGAUGGAGACGGAGAGAGACGUGGUUGUGACUGAGGCACAACGAACCGAGAUUGGGGAACAGAAGCUGAAGGACCUGAAGGUCAAGAACUAUCUCUUUGCGUCCAUUGAUAAGACGAUACUAAAGACGAUUGCAAAGAAAGAUUCCGCAAAGGACAUUUGGGAAUCUAUGAAGGUGAAAUACCAAGGAAACAAGAGAGUUCAAAGUGCUCAACUACAGAGGUUCCGGAGAAACUUCGAGGUAUUAGAGAUGAGAGAAGGAGAUUCCAUUACAGAGUAUUUCUCCAGAGUUAUGAUGGUGUCCAACGAUAUGAGAAAUCUUGGAGAAGAAGUACCAGACGAUAAGAUUGUGGAGAAGAUACUCAGGACACUUGUGGAGAAAUUCACAUACGUAGUAUGUGCAAUAGAGGAAUCAAAGGACAUAAAGGAGCUGACGGUAGACGAGUUGCAGAGCUCACUGCUCGUACAUGAGCAGAACCUCAACAAGCAUGACAGUGAAGAACGGGUUCUGAAAAUGGAGGGAGGCAGAGGACGUGGUGGUUACGUUUCCGGAAGAGGUAGAGGCAGCUAUCGAGGAGGCAGAAGUGGCAGAGGUGGUGCUAGUUUUGACAAGAGCGGCGUCGAAUGCUAUAAGUGCCACAAGAUGGGUCAUUUUAAAAAUGAAUGUCCUAUGUGGGAGAGAGCAGCCAACUAUGCGGAGAUGGAAGAAGACGUGCUUCUCAUGGCACAAGUUGACAAAGGAGCGGAGCUGGUUUGGUAUCUGGACUCGGGAUGCUCGAAUCAUAUGUGUGGCAACAAAGGGUGGUUCAUCAACUUUGAUGGAAGCUUCAGGCAACACGUGAAGCUUGGAGAUGAUAGAAGGAUGUUGGUGGAAGGUAAAGGAGACCUAAGGCUGGAGAUCGAUGGUAUUGUGCAAGUCAUCUCUUCAGUCUACUUUGUUCCAGGGUUAAGGAACAAUCUCUUGAGUGUGGGUCAGCUGCAACAGAAGGGCUUAAAGAUAGUGAUUGAAGACGGUGAAUGCAAGGUCUGGCAUAAGUUACAGAGACGUAUGAUCAUGCAUUCAAGGAUGACCUCAAACCGCAUGUUUGUCAUUACGGUUGUAGUGUUGGAAGCUAAAGAGUACUUGGAAGUGAACCAGAUCCACGGUACUGAUGAGACACCAGAGGAAACCUGGCACAAGCGUUUUGGACAUCUCAACACGAGCAGUCUGGUCACACUUGCUGAGAAAGAAAUGGUUAAAGGUCUGCCUGUGAUCAACAACACAGGAGCUGUCUGUGAGGUGUGCAUGAAGGGGAAGCAGAACCGAGAAAAUAUACAAAAACGCAGUGAAUGGAGGUCAAAGAAGAACUUGGAGCUCGUGCACAGCGACAUAUGCGGGCCAAUCUCACCAGCCUCAGAGAGUGGAAAGAGGUAUAUCAUCAACUUCAUUGAUGAUUUUAGCAGAAAGUGUUGGACAUUCUUUCUUGCAGAAAAAUCAGAAGCUCUGAGGGUGUUCAAAGAAUUUAAGGUGGCGGCUGAAAGAGAAACAGGGGAGAUGUUGGUAUGUCUGAGAACUGAUAGGGGUGGAGAGUACAACUCCAAAGCUUUCCAAGAAUUCUGCGUUGAAAGUGGCAUCAAAAGACAACUCACUGCGGCCUACACACCUCAGCAAAAUGGAAUUGCAGAGAGGAAGAACAGAAGUAUCAUGAAUAUGGUGAGGUGUAUGCUGUUUGGAAUGAAGGUACCACUGAGGUUUUGGACUGAAGCUACGCAGUAUGCAGUUCACAUCUUAAACCGGAGUCCAACGGCGAUACUAGGAGAAGUCACUCCCUCCGAGAAGUGGAGCAAUCACAAGCCGUCGGUAGAACAUCUUAGAGUAUUUGGCUGUCUAGCUUAUGCUAUGGUUCCAUAUGAGAAGAGAACCAAGCUGGAGGAGAAGAGCAUUAUGUGUGUUAUGUUCGGUGUGAGCAAGGAGUCCAAGGCGUACCGUCUCUAUGAUCCCACAACGAAGAAGAUCAUAAUCAGUAAGGAUGUUAAGUUCGAUGAAGGAAAGUCAUGGAAUUGGGAAGAGGAGAUUGAAGACGGUGAAGUCUUGAGAGAUGUUACUGAUGUAGAAGAAGAAACACAGGCCGAAGACAGAGAAGAGCCACAAGAAACUCAGCCUGAUACUGGAGAAACUCAAGGUGAUCAAGAGGCUGCAGGAACUGAUCAGGCUGAUGAAGGUGAAGCUGCAGGAGCCGACCGUGGCUCAACUCACGCUGAGGAGACAACAAAUGAAGAAGUUCAGCCGAGACUGAGUGGAGGUUCUGGAACAAACAGAUCUGGAAGAAACACACAAAAGCCAACGUGGAUGAAAGAUUAUGUAUGUGAAGAGUUGAGCAUGAUUAUUGAAGAAGAAGAAGAGAACGAGUUCAUGGUCCUGUUCGUUGGAGAUGACGAUCCAGAGACAUUUGAGGAAGCUGUGAGACAUGAGAACUGGAGAUUAGCAAUGGAGGCCGAGAUCAAGUCAAUCAUUGACAACAACACUUGGGAGCUAGUAGACCUACCUGAUGGAGCAAAAGUGAUUGGCGUUAAAUGGGUGUUUAAGACCAAAUUCAACGAGAAGGGAGCCAUCGACAAGUUCAAAGCCAGGCUCGUUGCUAAGGGCUUUCACCAGACACAUGGAGUAGACUUUCAUGAAAUCUUUGCGCCAGUUGCAAGGUGGGAUACUAUAAGAUUGAUUCUCGGCUUGGCAGCUCAACAAGGAUGGAACGUUCUUCAACUUGAUGUAAAGAGUGCAUUCCUCCAUGGAGAACUCAGUGAGGAUGUCUAUGUUGAACAACCUAAAGGUUUUGAGAGCAGAGAUGAGGAAGGGAAGGUGUACAAGCUAAACAAGGCACUGUAUGGGCUGAGACAAGCUCCAAGAGCCUGGUACAGCAGGAUUGAAGGGUAUUUCACCAGAGAAGGGUUCAGGAAGUGCUAUUGCGAGCACACUUUGUUUGUGAAAACAGAGAAAGAAGGUAUUCUUAUCAUUAGUCUUUAUGUUGAUGAUUUGAUUUACACAAGCAAUUCUGAUGCGCUUCUGAAGAGGUUUAAGAACUCCAUGGAAGAAGAGUUUGCCAUGACAGAUCUUGGAAGAAUGAAAUAUUUCUUAGGUGUGGAGGUGAUUCAAGAUGAUGAUGGGAUUUUUAUAAGUCAGAAGAAGUAUGCAGAAGAUGUGCUAAAGAAGUUUGGCAUGGAGGAGUGUAAUGCAGUGAGAAACCCAAUGGUGCCUGGAAACAGAAUGACUAAAGAAGGAGAUGGGUCGAGUGUUGAUUCUACAUCUUUCAAGCAGCUAGUGGGAAGUCUCAGGUAUUUGACAGCCACAAGACCGGACCUAAUCUACUCUGUCAAUCUGGUGAGCAGAUACAUGGAGAAUCCUAGUGAGCAACACCUAUCUGCCGCCAAGAGAAUCCUGAGGUACGUACAAGGAACUCGAGAGUUUGGUAUUCAGUACAAGAGAGGUGGAGAGCCUAGUCUGGUAGGCUUUGUAGACAGUGACUAUGCUGGUGAUGAAGAUGAUAGAAAAAGCACUUCGGGGUAUGCUUUCAUGUGGUGUGGAGGAGCAGUCUCAUGGGCAUCCAAGAAGCAACCGAUCGUCACACUCUCCACAACUGAAGCAGAGUAUGUGGCUGCAGCCUAUGGAGCAUGUCAGGGCGUGUGGCUGAAGAAUGUUCUAAAUGACAUUGGGCUAGAUCAAGAGCUUACUGUGUUCUGCGACAACAGCUCAGCUAUCAAACUCUCAAGAAACCCGGUUCUACACGGCAGGAGUAAACACAUAAGCGUAAGGUAUCACUUCCUGCGUGAACUUGUUAGUGAAGGAGUGUUAAGUAUGGAGUACUGUUCUACACAAGAUCAGAUAGCGGAUAUCAUGACUAAGCCCCUGAAACUUGAUGCAUUCGAGAAGCUUAGAGGGAUGUUGGGCGUUGCAAAGAAAGAAGAGUAAACUGAAACAUGACGGUUUCAGUUUAAGGGAGGGAUUGAAGAAUAAACUUGGUCGUAUGAAGUUGUCCUAAGCUUUAGGAACUAGUUUGUUUUCAUUUACUUGCUGAAUAAGUCAUCCUAUUUUCUAGGAUCGUAGCUGUUAGUUGUUGAGGCUUUUUCGAUUAAGUUGUUGCUUUCGUUUCCUAUUUAAACUUAUGUAUUCUUUCAAGUAUCAAUAAGAGAAUUCAUUCAGCUUAUUCUCUUUCGUUCAGUUUCUCAUUCUAUUUACAAUAUUGAUCGAAGAGAAGAUUUAUACAUCAAAAGCAUAAGACAAAUCUCUCACUCUUUCUCCAUGUGAAAAGU
rnacentral:lncRNA from 1 species